rnacentral:rRNA from 1 species
GAAACGACUGCUAAGACUGGAUAGGAGACAAGAAGGCAUCUUCUUGUUUUUAAAAGACCUAGCAAUAGGUAUGCUUAGGGAGGAGCUUGCGUCACAUUAGUUAGUUGGUGGGGUAAAGGCCUACCAAGACUAUGAUGUGUAGCUGGGCUGAGAGGUUGAACGGCCACAUUGGGACUGAGACACGGCCCAAACUCCUACGGGAGGCAGCAGUAGGGAAUUUUCGGCAAUGGAGGAAACUCUGACCGAGCAACGCCGCGUGAACGAUGAAGUAUUUCGGUACGUAAAGUUCUUUUAUUAGGGAAGAAUAAAUGAUGGAAAAAUCAUUCUGACGGUACCUAAUGAAUAAGCCCCGGCUAACUAUGUGCCAGCAGCCGCGGUAAUACAUAGGGGGCAAGCGUUAUCCGGAAUUAUUGGGCGUAAAGGGUGCGUAGGCGGUUAAAUAAGUUUAUGGUCUAAGUGCAAUGCUCAACAUUGUGAUGCUAUAAAAACUGUUUAGCUAGAGUAAGAUAGAGGCAGGUGGAAUUCCAUGUGUAGUGGUAAAAUGCGUAAAUAUAUGGAGGAACACCAGUAGCGAAGGCGGCUUGCUGGGUCUUUACUGACGCUGAGGCACGAAGGCGUGGGGAGCAAACAGGAUUAGAUACCCUGGUAGUCCACGCCGUAAACGAUGAGUACUAAACGUUGGGUAAAACCAGUGCUGAAGUUAACACAUUAAGUACUCCGCCUGAGUAGUACGUACGCAAGUAUGAAACUUAAAGGAAUUGACGGGACUCCGCACAAGCGGUGGAUCAUGUUGUUUAAUUCGAAGGUACCCGAAAAACCUCACCAGGUCUUGACAUGCUUCUGCAAAGCUGUAGAAACACAGUGGAGGUUAUCAGUUGCACAGGUGGUGCAUGGUUGUCGUCAGCUCGUGUCGUGAGAUGUUGGGUUAAGUCCCGCAACGAGCGCAACCCUUAUUGUUAGUUACCAGCACGUAAUGGUGGGGACUUUAGCAAGACUGCCAGUGAUAAAUUGGAGGAAGGUGGGGACGACGUCAAAUCAUCAUGCCCCUUAUGACCUGGGCUACAAACGUGAUACAAUGGCUGUUACAAAGGGUAGCUGAAGCGCAAGUUUUUGGCGAAUCUCAAAAAAACAGUCUCAGUUCGGAUUGAAGUCUGCAACUCGACUUCAUGAAGUUGGAAUCGCU